GCAGGUGUGGCGGAAUUGGUAGACGCGCCAGACUUAGGAUCUGGUUCCGAAAGGAGUGGGGGUUCGAGUCCCUCCACCUGCA
rnacentral:tRNA from 1 species